CGGUAGCUGGACGCACCGGGCUCGCCAGAGCCAAACCCAGCCAUCAGUCCUUCCUGGACCUCAACCCACCGCGGG
rnacentral:ncRNA from 1 species